rnacentral:rRNA from 1 species
GAUGAACGCUGGCGGCGUGCUUAACACAUGCAAGUCGAACGACGUGGCGCACGGGUGAGUAAUACGUGGGUAACCCUCCCUCCUUUUUGGGAUAAGCCUCUGAAACGGGGUCCAAUACCGAAUACAGGGGGAUGGGCGCGCGGCCUUUCAGUUGGUUGGUGGGGUGAUGGGCUACCAAGUCGGUGACGGGUGGCCGGCCUGAGAGGAUGAACGGGAACAGUGGGACUGCGAUACGGCCCAGGGUCGUACGGGGGGGGGCAGUGGGGGAUAUUGGAGAAAGUGCGAAGGCCCGAUGCAGCGAGUCCGAGUAGGGGAUGAGGGCUUUCAAGUUGUAAACGUCGGUCGGUAUCGGACGGGUAGGUGGAGAAGAAGCGCCGACUAACUACGUGCCAGCAGCCGCGGUAAUAC